rnacentral:lncRNA from 1 species
CAGGAUUGUCUUGGGGAUUUGUCAUGAUAAUGAAUUUCUGUAAACCUUAAGAGAAUUUGGAGAAUUUUUGGAGACGAAAGUGGAUGAUCAGGGUUUUUUGUGAAGAACUGAUGGUUAUUGAGUGAUUUUGGGCUUUUAAAGAGGGUAAUAAUUACUCAGAAACGACAGCUUUUUCAAAGGUCUUGUAGAAGUCUAAUCCAUUUAGAGUUCCGGUGUCCUUAGUGAUUAAUUAGGAUUGCUAAUAUUUAGGAGAUGGUUAUGUUAUACUUGGACUUCUAGUUUCAAUGAAGCCGGUUCAAUUGUCCAACAGAUAGAAUUGUUAGGAUUUUUGGUAUAUGUAGAACUCUUGCUCAUGAUUGAUAAUAAAUUUUUCUGAUUGUACAAAGUAUAGAAACAUAACUAAACUUUCUCAUGAGGAUAUUUUGAUGAACCAGGUUCUUCAAGUGAAACUUCUCUUGAUUAUGCCUCAAAUGUUAGAACAGAAAAUUUGUAAGAGAUUAGUGAAUCGCAUAAACACAUGUCACAAGAGUAUACUAUUUACAGUAUGCGACUGAGUAGGAAUUAGUCUAAUAUUCACACGAAGUAAGAACUCCUAACCAAUUUUUUUUUCAAUUUUUGUUUUUGACUGUGCAUCCUGAAUUGGACCUUUUAGGUGAUCUUAAUCAUCCCUAAUUCCAACCUGUUUCUUUC